GUUAAUGUGGUUGUCUGCCUCAUUAUACAUAUAAAGGCUCAAAACAAUCACAAAAUAGUAAGAAAGGCAGUGGAGUUUAGGCAAGAUUAGCUCCAGGCAUUCUAGUAAAAUGAAUAGGAGUUUAUUGUACCAGGAGAUGAAAACCAGUGAGGUAGAUUUGAGGUGCUGGAUGCCAGGGUAACAAAAGCAAAAUGCAAGGAACCAAUAAAACUGUGUAAGCUGCAUGAGUCAAAAGCAAAAUAGGAUGGAUCUCUAAGGGCAGUGAAGUGGCAUAAAUAACAUUAAGCCUGUUUUCCAAUGGAGCUGUGACCAUUUGCUGGCACUAAUGCUCUUCUAAGUUUUGGGCAGCAGCCUUAUUGCCUGUGCUGUAACUGUGGGUUAGCAGGGCUGAACCAGCUCUGGCCUUGUGUGUCUGCUGAGGUGCUGUGGCAACCAGGGAUACAAUAGGCUGUUCUACAUGUUAAUCACUAUUCCAUGAUGAUUUUUGCAGCCAUUUUGAUGGGAUGCAGAACCAGCUGAAGAUUUUUUCACUUCCAGCUGAUCAGUGUGGUGUGGCUUCAAGGACAACUUCGUCAGUAGGAAGAAGGGAACGAAAGGACACCAACGCUUUCUGAAAUAGAGCAGAAAAUUGAGGUCAUUUUCUUCUUCCAAUCCUGUCCUCCUCAACACUGCACACUCAAAUGAGCAGAAGUGUUCACAUUUCCGGAACCUGGUCAGGUUUCUAUUGUCAGUGAGUCAGCUUCAGAAAGAGGACAGAGACACUCUACUGCCUACAAUAAGAGCUCGCAGCCAGAAGUCCCCAGUGCUGUGCCUGUACAAGCCCAGGAGGAGAUGGUUGUCCUCAGGUGCCUGCCCUGGCCCUGCCCUAUGCUGUCCCCAGGAGACCAGGUUAAGCAUUACUCAGAUUGCCUGAUUAGGAGGAAAACAACAGUCCAUUUGAAUUCUAGUUAAUACAUACAACAAAAUCCCUGAGCAGAAGAGCAGGGAAGGAAGAUGACACACAUGAAGUUAGACUGCAGUGCUCUCCUCAAAGGACCAGAAGGGAGUUCAAAAUUUAUUUUCUUGCUUUUGUUUAUACUCACUGGCUUCCUGAGAUAAGAGAAAUACAAAAUAAAGAAUGAAAAUUGCUGACCA
rnacentral:lncRNA from 1 species